ACUCAUUAUUCCCCCGGAGCCGGGCGCCGCCCCGCCGGCCGAACCUGUCCCGCGAGGCGCGGCGCGGCCGUGGGGCUGGGCGGGCCCGGCGCGGCCCCCGCCCCGGAGCCCCCGCCCUCUGGCCCCCGCCCGGCCCGGGGCGCCCGGCACGGCACCCCCUCCCUGCACCCUCCGCCCGGGAGCCCGCGCCCCGCCCGCCCCCGGCCCCGCCGCCGCGCCGCCGCCCGAGCCCGGGGGGAAGGAAGGGCGGCGCUGCCCGCUCCGGGCGUCACAGGGCUGCAGCCCGCUGCGCCGCUUCCAAAACACACAGCCGGGCUCGCGGGCGAGCCGAGGCGGGGCGGGGGUGGGGAGAGGGGACCGGGGCCGGCCGGGGCCAUCAAUCAGCCGGCACCGGCGGGGAGGGCGGCCCUGGGCGCGGCGGGAAGGGCUGGGCCCCGCAGCCAGCGCGGCCCCUCCUGCACCUAGUGCAUAGAACUCUCUUAAAGAAAAAGCAGGAAAAAGCACGGGUGGCGAAGGGGCGGGCGGACCUGGGCAGAUUCGGGAAGGAAGGAGCCGCGGGGAAAGGGAGGGCACUUGGGGUGACUGAAACCCUACAGAGGUCCCGAGUUUCCAAGGUCAUCCCACUUUCUGUGAGCAAGCUUCUUUGUCCCCGGGGCGCAGGGUCCCCUUCGUCGCCCCCCCCGCCCCCGGAGGGAUGGCCUGAGUGGCGCACCCCGCCUCCCAGGGUUUUUCUUUGAAGGCCCGAGACCCCCGAAGCAAACUUCCCACGGGCCUGGCCUGCCACUGGAGCGAGAAGGCGGCCGGUAGCAGCGGCGUUUGCUGAGCCGGGCCUGCCUGAAAACUUGGCAAACUUCGCUCCGGAUCCUCCCGCCCGGAGGGAGAACUCCGGGUGAGCUGAGGGUUCUGUCCCGCAGCCUUUCGUUUCUCGCCGCUUCCCUGGGACCGAGCGCAAGGGUGCGCGAUGGCCACAGGGCGAUGGCCUUCACAGCGCUCCGCGCCGGGCGGCGGAAACCCGCGUUCGGGCCAAGCCGGGCCCUGUGGAGGACUUUGUAUAUAGCGUGGCACCCGAGUUCAAUGCUUUUCGAGUUUUUUUUUAAACAGGAUUAAUGUAAUAAUGCAAUAAAAAAAGAACAAAAGACAAAUUGGUUCAAUUGUUUUAGUCCUGUGCAAUGUUUAAAAACGCCCCUGCUUCAGUCUAUGGCUCGUUAUUGCUUCAAGAUGUGUUAAAGGCCCUUUAAGCUCACCAUUCUCACUUUGAUGCUCCAUCCAGGCGUGGGACUACUUAACACAUAGAGAUAGAGCAUAUUCGGAACCUCAUCAUGUAGCUAUACGGUGACGUAAAAUUACUACCGGUAACCUCAAGUAGUAGAAUUGCAGAUGGUACAAAAGGCACAUGAAAGACCACAUGGAGAACACCCAGAACUGACACUGGUUCGUGUGCUAUCCUGCUGUCUCUCAAGAGUAAUCUUUAAAUGGAAAGACAUGAGGGUUUUUUUUUUUUUUUUAACGAAUAAAAUACAAAUGCAAGGGGGGGAGUUGAAUUCGUGUCAAUUACUAAUUGCAGUUCAUUGAUCGCUGACUUCUUGAAAUGUCUGAUCGGAUGUCUUACAUUUGUAUUAGCUGGAAAACUUUUGUUAGCUGGAAUCUAACUUUUGACUGCUGGAAUCACUUCACAUUUUGGUGCCUGCCUCACAGUAGGGGCUCAAAAAAUACAGGCUUUGCUCAAGGGACAGAAUGAUAGAAACCUGAAGCACAGAAGCCAUGUUUUCUACGUGGUUCCUGAGGGUGUGGAUCCAAAGGAGAAGCUUGAAAUGGGUCUGUCUGAGAAAAGUGGCAGUGGUUUUGGCAUGAAGGAAGCGGAGGAGGAGGAGGAGAAAAGUCAUCCAAAAGGUGAAUUAACGAACACAGUUUGUGUUCAGGGCCCUGUGGGAGGCUGCUCAAACAACUCGUACAGAAAGGAAGCCAUCCAGGGAAGGGUACCCCCAGUGCCCAUCCAGAGCCACCCGAAGUCGCCCUGGCCUCCUCCCCGCUCCAAGCAGUCACAGCCCUGUUAUGCCCUGAGUCUUGGACCUCCCCUGUCACUGCCCACUCCUCGGCUGCUGUCCUGGUCCAGCCUGUUGCCACAGUGACUUGUUGGUCAUCCUGUUUGUAGCAUGGCUGAAGUGUGGGAAUCGCAGCAAAGGAACAAGAAUACCUUCUCUAAAAUGCAAACUGACCACGUCAAUCCCGUCCAUGACUUCCCUCCAGACAGAGCCCAAGAGUGUACCACUGAGCUGACCUGGCCUUGUGCUGUCGUGGUAGGUUCCUCUCUCCCUGUUCUCCCCGCCCACUCUUCUCCAGCAACACAGAGCUUUCCUUUGCUUUUUCCAACUCUGUCUUCCCACCUCUGACCCUUCUUUGCUCAUGUUCAUUUUUCUAGGUGGGCUAGCCUUGCCUUCUCCCCCAACUCCUGACCGCCACCCUCAUUUCCCUAAAUUCUAUUCAUUGUUGAAAUGCUGUGUGAAAUGAUAUUUUCAACGAAAUAUAGCUUCUUUUAUUACCAUCCCUCACCUCACCUUUGGAUGACUAGAGGCCCUCCUUCUCGGUACUCCGAUGGCUCCCAUGGUUCACCUCUUGUGCCAUUAUUUAUUUUUUUCUUGUAACUGGCUACUACUCUCUAUGGCACUGAAAUAUAAACUCUGUGCAUGGCCCUUGUCUUUUCAGCCAAAUUGUAUUCCCAUGACCCAGGUGUUCAAUGAAUAUUGGUAAAAUAAAUAAAUGCGAGCUGCAAAUUGAGAAGUCCUUCACAUCUAAAAAGAAGAGAGGAAGCUUCAGGGUGGCAAGCGACCAUGAACUAGACCUUUGAAAUGGUGAAGAGGAGGAAAGAGGGAGCUCCCCUCACUGAAGGUUUUUAAGCGGUAGAAUGCAAUGGUGAGAGGGGCGCCUAGGUCUCCUUUUUAUCCAUGACACUCACACAGUGCCUGGCGCACGUGCAGUGUGUGGUAAAUCCUGGGUAAAUGAAAUAUCUCCAGCUUGGUCUUUGGAACUGCUCUGCUCCUGUUCUUCGAGGACAGGAGGCCGGUCUGCUUGAGGUUUUGGGGAGCAGAUGCUCGGGAAAGGACACCCCUCCUAACCAGUCUCUGCAGUCCCAGUCCCUUCUGCCCCGACUGGGAGGAGAGUAGAUAUGUGACAGGGUUCUGGCCAGGGGGACCUGAAGGGAAGUGUGCUGGGACUUAUGGGAAAUAUUUUUCUUCCCAAUAAAAGGAAACUCUUACGAAGAUAACCCCCCGGACCUGCUUUGAAGUUAUGUGAGCAUGUGGUGCUUGAAGCGUUGGCAGCCAUCUUGCCGUCAUGAGAGUGCUCUCGGUGAUCUGUCUCACUUCAACAGCGUUUGGACAGAAGGGACCCAGGGACCCGCCUUUCACCAGCCUCUGACCCCUCUCCAGCCUCAUCUCAAGUCUCCACUUUGAGAACCGUUUCAGCCACCCUGGGCCUCUAAGACCAGCCAACACCUUUUUUUGGGGGGGGGGUGGGGGGGUGGGGACGACUUAAUUCCUUAUUGCUGAGCAACCAUGAGCUCCCAGAUUUGUUAGAAUUAUUCCGCUAAGGUGAAGGCCACCAUCAACUGCCUGAUCACUCUGCACCUGUGGGCCUCCUACCCCUACCUCUGCCUGGGCUUCUGUUUUGACUGAGACAGUGUGGCUCUGGAGGGUGUGGGCCCCUUCUUCACCAAGCUGGCAGAGGAGCAGAGGCAGGGCACCUGGUGUCUCUUGAGGGUGCAAAACCAGUGCAGCAGCCGCACCCUCUUCUAGGAUUUGCAGAAGCCUCCCAUGAUGAGUGAGGCAAUAAAUAAAACGCAGGAUGCCAGGGAGUCUGCCACGGUGCUGGAGAACCUGGACCAGGCCCUCUGGGACCUGCAGGCCCUGGGGUCUACCUGCACAGACCCUCACCUUGUGACUUCCUGGAGAACCACUUCCUGGAAGAGCAGGUGAAACCCAUCAAGAAGAUGGGCGACCACCUGACUACCAUCAGCAGGUUGGCCGGUCCCAGGCUGGGCUGGGUGAGUAACUCGUCCAAAAGCUCACCUGCAAGCCCGGCUAGGAGUCUUUGGAGCCCAGAGGCCUUUGAGGGUCCCCCUGCACCCCCCUGGUGUCUGACUUCUGCCCGGAGCCUCUCCCUGCGACCACUAGGCCGGCUUUUAACCACCCGGAGCCCUCCCCCGUGCCUUGGACCAAAUGGAAACCAUAAAGCUUUUUGCAGGAG